GCGAGCGCCGCCUGGGGGCGGGGCCCGAUGGCAGCCGGUCCCCCAGACAGACAGGCCCGGAUUGUCUCAAGGCGGCAAAGCAGCGAGGGUGCCCCGCAGAAGGCAGGCGGGAGGGGGGUAGGCGCGCGGUUCCUCUCUCGGGAGCGCGCUCGCCGCCCGGCCGCCAGCAGUGAAUAGGUGCAGGAGGCAGCUCGGUUCCCAACCCUCUAGGACUGUCCUGGAGUCUCCAGGAAUCAAGGAUGGAUUUUUAAUUCAAGAUUAUGUCACGUGUCAAAGCCGGUCCUAUAAGGUCUAUUCAUCCAGAUCUUGGGCUACGAGAACUCCUGGGACAGUACUUCCCCAGAGCUCAGAGCAGAGAUCUACUUCCUUCCACUGCCUGCUCUCCUCUGACCAGCUCUGCUUCCCCUUUUAAGCACUGUCUCCAACUUGUGCAGGCUUUGCAGAGGGAAGAAUAAUACAUGUGGACAUUAUUUUACUGGAUACCUCAAUCAAUUGCAGGUCGCUUUACAGAAACAUCUCAUGCUGGAGCCCCCGCGUGGAGCCAAGGAC